CGAGACGCAAAUAAGCAAUAAUUAACCGAGGUGGGGCUUUCAAAAGGAAAAGCAUUGCACAUGGUUGGUGGUGGACGUGGUCCCAAGGUUUGUUCCAUGAUGAGCAGUGAGACGUUCAGCCUGGACACUCUUUGAGGUUGACCGGACCAAACGCACCAGACAGCCUGUCGAAUGAGACCGAGUCGCUGUUGAUCCUCAUGUCCUGGAUGCAUCCCACAAAGGACGAUGUAACAGGGAGCAUCUGUUGCAUUGACAUCUCUGCAGCAGAAAGACAGUCUGAUCCUGCCUUUGGAUAUAUAUAAAGCGAGAUGAGAGCGCCCUUCUCUGGUAGCAGCAAAGAACAGCAGGCCCUCAGGAGCUCGAGUCCUGAUAUCCAGAGAAAAGUGGGGCCUGGAGAGAAUAAAGACGGACACCAUCUUUGUAUGUGAUGGCUCUGACAUAACUGUAGCAUUCUUCUUAAGAGGACACACUCAGCCAAGCACACUUUUCAUUUAGAAAUCUUCCAUGUGUGCAUGCCGUGUUUGUAUGCAUGUGAAAUGUGAUGUAUGACAGGUUACUCACCUGGGUUGCAGGACCUGUAGUGGAAGGCUGUAGCUCAGGCUGCUGACAGGGCCGCCCAUGCGAUAAGCAUUUUGAACCAGGGCUGGUAAUGCACAUGCUGAUAGACUCUCAUUUAUCGCCUGCAUCACAACAUCCUAAAAGAGCACAAACAAACAAAAGACCCACUCAGCACAAGGUAUAAAAUUGUCCCUCUAAUCAGAGUUUGCUCAUGUAUAUCUGGGGAAGUCUCCAACGGGGUUCAACUCUGUCAGUAAAUAAAGAUGAGAGGGUAUGACAAUGUAUAGUGGUCAGAAUGACUACAUUACUAAAAAAUAUCUUCUACAUAGGAGAGAACGCACGCAUGUUGUACACUGAAUAAAUGAAUGCAGGGCAUCAACAGUUUUUUUUUUUAAGAUGAAUUGACUUAAAUGUUAUGUCAGAAAAACAGUCCAAAACCUAAAUAUAUUCAGCCUACUAUCAUAGAAUACUGAGAAAACCGGCAAUCAUUCCUAAUUGUGAAGUUAGAGACAAUUCAUUUUUUAAUUUUUGCUUUUAAAAUUACUGUCGAUCUACUACUCCAUUAAUCGACUAAUGCUUUUAUGUAGACCAGAUGUCACCCGAAGAGAGUUAACAAUCAGAAUGUAAUAGUUUAUAUAAAUAGCCAUGUAUAGCCCAGUAGUAAUGACUUCAUCCCUCAUGUAGUAAGUUUUGAUGAUAAGUGUGGAUCUCAUAAUUACAGCUAUAGAAUAACACAUCAGAUGCUUUGUUUUGGUUAUGUUGAGGUUUUUACUAUCAUAUUUCGAGCACAACCCUAGCAAAUAUUCUGUUUACUCAGAGGUGUGUUUGGUUUCAACAUAGUUAGGCAUUUUAAAUUGUGCUCGUACAGUACAGCAUACAGGAAAGUUGUUGAUUAUAUGAUUUAAGUGAUUUCAGUUUGACAUAUACUCCAGUAUUACAGGGGUGAACUUCUAAUAGAGUUGCGUAGAUUAUUAAACAAUAAACAAACUCAAAAACCUUUUGUGAGAUGGCUGAUGAAGUCCUGAUAUUAUAGAAAACACCAAUCAUGGAUAAAGGAAAAACAAACAUUAAACACUGUAAUAUCAUGUGUGAUAUCAUGAUAUGGAUUAUGACAAUUUCACAUCACUGUCUCUUCUGUAUUUUGUCUUUCUGUUACUCCUUUGAUUAAACAUUUCCUUUAAGUCUA